UCCUAGCUCCUGGUAGAGGAACAACCCGAAAGAAAUAAUGAUCACAUGAGAAAAAGAAAGAAAAACCUCUGCGUGUCUCUUUCUACCCUAAACAAAAGUUUCUCCACCUUUUGUUGUGAAUAGAAUCAGGAAAAACUAAAUCUCCCAGUCAGAGCUCCGGGGUUGUGGACAACGCCCAUCCUGGCCGUUUCUUUUUGAUUUUUUUGUCUGAUAUUUUCUCCCAAUGGUCCAUCAUCAUCGUCUUGUGUGUGUGCACAUUGGAACGGGCGUCAAGGUGGACACAAUGAUGAUGAGAUUUGUCGGAUUUCUCUUUUCUCCCAACCGAAAAAGAAGAAGAAGAAGAAGAAGAAAAGAUUAUUUCUUUUCUUUUCUUUUUCGUCUCCCGUUGUGUUUUUCAUUUCCCAUCCGCGCGCGGUGCAGUCAGAGAUGAUCCAUCCAUCCAUCCGAGCAGAUAUAUAGAAAGAACUUACUACUACUACCAGCAGCGAUAACUGGGAGAUCCGCCGCAAAUCAGCUACCGGAUGCUGUACAGCAAGAAACUAUUAAUUCUUUUAAUAAAUCUUCUUCUUCUUUUAUCUAUUCAAUUCAUUCAGUCGGGAUGGUCCGUGGAACUUUUUUUCUUCUUUUCCAUGUCCGCCUACCUUUUUUUUGAUUCUCCAGUCUCAACAUCUUUUUUCGCUAAUUGGAGGGGAACCUUUUCUGUCCGGUAGGACGGACGCCGGGGUUUUCUAGACCUUUUUUGUCAUCACUGCGUGUGCUAUUAUGGCACAUGGGGGAACUGAUCCUCUUGUUGUUGUGGGGGAUAUUAGACGCCCAACACAAUGACGUCCCAUUUCUAAAAGACCCUGACAGUCUCAGCAGCAACCGGGCCCCGUCUUCUUCUUCAAUAUCUCCCACCUUAUUUGGUGUUGUGUGGAAUAUCAUCGAGAGUCCUUAACGUUUUGUGACGUGUCAUUGUCCCCCUUCCUUCGUUCUUUUCACGUCCGCAGCUUUUUUCCGCCGCAUCAUCGAG